rnacentral:tRNA from 1 species
GAGGGUAUAGCUCAGUGGUAGAGUGUAUGCUUAGCAUGCAUGAGAUCCCGGGUUCAAUUCCUGGUACCUCCA